rnacentral:rRNA from 2 species
AAAUUGAAGAGUUUGAUCAUGGCUCAGAUUGAACGCUGGCGGCAGGCCUAACACAUGCAAGUCGAACGGUAACAGGAAGCAGCUUGCUGCUUCGCUGACGAGUGGCGGACGGGUGAGUAAUGUCUGGGAAACUGCCUGAUGGAGGGGGAUAACUACUGGAAACGGUGGCUAAUACCGCAUAACGUCGCAAGACCAAAGAGGGGGACCUUCGGGCCUCUUGCCAUCAGAUGUGCCCAGAUGGGAUUAGCUAGUUGGUGAGGUAACGGCUCACCAAGGCGACGAUCCCUAGCUGGUCUGAGAGGAUGACCAGCCACACUGGAACUGAGACACGGUCCAGACUCCUACGGGAGGCAGCAGUGGGGAAUAUUGCACAAUGGGCGCAAGCCUGAUGCAGCCAUGCCGCGUGUAUGAAGAAGGCCUUCGGGUUGUAAAGUACUUUCAGCGGGGAGGAAGGUGUUGUGGUUAAUAACCACAGCAAUUGACGUUACCCGCAGAAGAAGCACCGGCUAACUCCGUGCCAGCAGCCGCGGUAAUACGGAGGGUGCAAGCGUUAAUCGGAAUUACUGGGCGUAAAGCGCACGCAGGCGGUCUGUCAAGUCGGAUGUGAAAUCCCCGGGCUCAACCUGGGAACUGCAUUCGAAACUGGCAGGCUUGAGUCUUGUAGAGGGGGGUAGAAUUCCAGGUGUAGCGGUGAAAUGCGUAGAGAUCUGGAGGAAUACCGGUGGCGAAGGCGGCCCCCUGGACAAAGACUGACGCUCAGGUGCGAAAGCGUGGGGAGCAAACAGGAUUAGAUACCCUGGUAGUCCACGCCGUAAACGAUGUCUACUUGGAGGUUGUGCCCUUGAGGCGUGGCUUCCGGAGCUAACGCGUUAAGUAGACCGCCUGGGGAGUACGGCCGCAAGGUUAAAACUCAAAUGAAUUGACGGGGGCCCGCACAAGCGGUGGAGCAUGUGGUUUAAUUCGAUGCAACGCGAAGAACCUUACCUGGUCUUGACAUCCACAGAACUUUCCAGAGAUGGACUGGUGCCUUCGGGAACUGUGAGACAGGUGCUGCAUGGCUGUCGUCAGCUCGUGUUGUGAAAUGUUGGGUUAAGUCCCGCAACGAGCGCAACCCUUAUCCUUUGUUGCCAGCGGUUAGGCCGGGAACUCAAAGGAGACUGCCAGUGAUAAACUGGAGGAAGGUGGGGAUGACGUCAAGUCAUCAUGGCCCUUACGACCAGGGCUACACACGUGCUACAAUGGCGCAUACAAAGAGAAGCGACCUCGCGAGAGCAAGCGGACCUCAUAAAGUGCGUCGUAGUCCGGAUUGGAGUCUGCAACUCGACUCCAUGAAGUCGGAAUCGCUAGUAAUCGUGGAUCAGAAUGCCACGGUGAAUACGUUCCCGGGCCUUGUACACACCGCCCGUCACACCAUGGGAGUGGGUUGCAAAAGAAGUAGGUAGCUUAACCUUCGGGAGGGCGCUUACCACUUUGUGAUUCAUGACUGGGGUGAAGUCGUAACAAGGUAACCGUAGGGGAACCUGCGGUUGGAUCACCUCCUUA